GCUACCCAGCAAUGGGAUGCGAAUCUCGAAAGCCUGUCUCAGUUCGGAUUGGAGGCUGAAACCCGCCUCCAUGAAGUUGGAUUCGCUAGUAAUCGCGCAUCAGCCAUGGCGCGGUGAAUACGUUCCCGGGCCUUGUACACACCGCCCGUCAAGCCAUGGGAGCCGGGGGUGCCUGAAGUUCGUGACCGCAAGGAGCGACCUAGGGCAAAACUGGUGACUGGGGCUAAGUCGUAACAAGGUAAC
rnacentral:rRNA from 1 species